GGAGCGAUGGCCGAGUGGCUGAAGGCGCACGCCUGCUAAGUGUGUAUAGGGGAAACUCUAUCCCGGGUUCGAAUCCCGGUCGCUCCGCCA
rnacentral:tRNA from 1 species